UGCAAGUCGAACGGUGAAAGAGGAGCUUGCUCCUCUGGAUCAGUGGCGAACGGGUGAGUAACACGUGAGAAAUCUGCCCUGGACUCUGGGAUAAGCGUUGGAAACGACGUCUAAUACCGGAUACGAGCUUCAGCCGCAUGGCUAGGAGCUGGAAAGAACUUCGGUCCAGGAUGAUCUCGCGGCCUAUCAGCUAGUUGGUGAGGUAACGGCCCACCAAGGCGACGACGGGUAGCCGGCCUGAGAGGGUGACCGGCCACACUGGGACUGAGACACGGCCCAGACUCCUACGGGAGGCAGCAGUGGGGAAUAUUGCACAAUGGGCGCAAGCCUGAUGCAGCAACGCCGCGUGAGGGACGACGGCCUUCGGGUUGUAAACCUCUUUUAGUAGGGAAGAAGCGAAAGUGACGGUACCUGCAGAAAAAGCACCGGCUAACUACGUGCCAGCAGCCGCGGUAAUACGUAGGGUGCAAGCGUUAUCCGGAAUUAUUGGGCGUAAAGAGCUCGUAGGCGGUUUGUCGCGUCUGCUGUGAAACCCGGAGGCUCAACCUCCGGCCUGCAGUGGGUACGGGCAAACUAGAGUGCGGUAGGGGAGAUUGGAAUUCCUGGUGUAGCGGUGGAAUGCGCAGAUAUCAGGAGGAACACCGAUGGCGAAGGCAGAUCUCUGGGCCGUAACUGACGCUGAGGAGCGAAAGCGUGGGGAGCGAACAGG
rnacentral:rRNA from 1 species